CACGUAGGGUGCGAGCGUUGUCCGGAAUUAUUGGGCGUAAAGAGCUCGUAGGCGGUGUGUCGCGUCGGCCGUGAAAACUGUGGCUUAACCAUGGGCUUGCGGUCGAUACGGGCAUCACUGGAGUUCGGCAGGGGAGACUGGAAUUCCUGGUGUAGCGGUGAAAUGCGCAGGAUAUCAGGAGGAACACCGGUGGCGAAGGCGGGUC
rnacentral:rRNA from 1 species